ACAUGGAAGAUUAAUUAUUAUUAUUAUUAUUAUAAAAAUUCAUCUUCCAUGCAGUUUCGGUCCCUUCAGCAGAGGGCAGAGAGACUAAAUAAUCUUUGUAUAAAUAUCUUUGGUUAAGGUGCUCUGCCUGUGCUUCAGCGCCCAGAUCCCCACAGCUGGAGCUGGCUGGCUAAGAUUGCGCAUGUGCAGUCCACUAAACCAGGCGUGCACAACCCGGGCCAGCCUGUGAGCUGGUUUUUGUUCCAGCCAUUUGCCUUAAUUUUAGUUUUUUUUCUGACAGCUCAAUGAACUACGCCGGUUCACUCCUGUACAUUGAGCACAGUGACAUCUUCAAUAUGCACUCUCAGUCUUUGGCUGUAGUCGGUGCUCAUUAAAUCAGAUCACAAAACACAAUUUGUUUAUAUAGCGCCUUUCAUGCAAGAUUGCAAUACAAAGUCGUUCACAUAGUAAAGAUAAAAAGAUCCAUAAAAAGCUGCAGCAACACUGAAAACAUAAAAACGAUAAAACGACAUAGAUAGGAACUAAUUGAAUAUAUAACAGCAGAAGUUGGCACAAAACCCCAAAAACAGAUCGGCCCCUUUUGUGCACCCCUGCACUAGAGUAACGCCACCUCAGUCAUUUUUACCUCUGCUGGAGGACUUUCCCCGGAAAGAAACGCCUGCCCCCACGUCAGCCUGUGUGAGCGAGGGUACCAUCAGCCAGGCCUGGAGCGACGGGAUCCGUUUCCGUGGAGACCAUUUCCGCCAUUCCAGAGUGAUGAGAUCCAUUUCCAUGGAGACCAUUUCCACCAUUCCGAAGUGAUGAGAUCCGUUUCCAUGGAGACCAUUUCCGCCAUUCCAGAGUGAUGAGAUCCAUUUCCAAGGAGACCAUUUCCGCCAUUCCAGAGUGAUGAGAUCCAUUUCCAAGGAGACCAUUUCCGCCAUUCCAGAGUGAUGAGAUCCAUUCCCAAGGAGACCAUUUCCGCCAUUCCAGAGUGAUGAGAUCCAUUCCCAAGGAGACCAUUUCCGCCAUUCCAGAGUGACGAGAUCCAUUUCCGUGGAGACCAGGACGACAUAGCUCAGGAGAGUGAAGGGAUCCGUUUCCGUGGAAACUAUUUCCACCCUUCCAUGAGUGAGGAGAUCCGUUUCCGUGGAGCCAUGUGUUCGCCUGUGAGGACUGAACAUGUGGCUGUGACAUCACUUCUCUGAGAUACAACAAGGAGGAAGUGGAUAACUUACCAAAGAAUCCCAAAACACAGGAACUCCACACGGAACAAGCACAUGACAUCACAGACCCAACGCAUGACAUCACAACCAGGAUGGCAACAUCUGGACGACCAGGCUGAGACUACAGGAACCAAGCUGAGAACAUCAUAGCAGGCUCACAUGGGGACACGCUUUCUUUCCGCCCUUUCUUUUUCCCUUUCUUCCCCCCCCCAAAACUAUUUUCUUCCUCCUACCCCUACUCUGUCCAAAAAUAAUUAAAUUUUUUUUUUAAACUACAGAUAAA